GGAAGGGUGUCCGAGUGGUCUAAGGAGCACGCCUGGAGAGCGUGUAGGCGGGUCCCCUGCCUCGUGGGUUCAAAUCCCACCCCUUCCGCCA
rnacentral:tRNA from 1 species